AGCGGGCAAAGCGGAGGAGACAGCAGUAUGCCUCAAAUAUCAGGCAGCCAAAAAAGAAAGGAAAAUAAAAUAAGAGAGGAGAAGGAGUUGAAGGGUCGACAAUAUGUCACCCAAUAUUUCCAAAAAAAGAGUCAAGUGCACCAGCAGCAGCAGCAGCAGCAGCUGUCUGUCAGCCCCCAACUCCCCCUGCCCCUGAAUCACUCCAGUGCCCCCACAUGAGGAAGGAGGGUUGCGGGGGGUGCUGGAGCCUAUCUCAGCUGCAUUCGGGCAGUAGGCAGGGUAGACCCUGGACAAGUCGCCACCUCAUCGCAGGGCAAACACAGAUAAACAGACAACAUUCACACUCACUUUCACACACUAGGGCCAAUUAGAUUUUUUUUAAAUUUAACAAGGGAAAAUCAUAAUGGAUUAAUACAGAAAACAAUAUUGACAAAGUACAGCAAAUAUUUACUAAGAGGACAAAAAAGUCAGCCUUUUUCCCCUGAAGGUUAAAUAUACUUUUGUUUAAAAAAAGUAUAAUAUGGGACCUUACUUAAAAUGGUAUUUAUGAUAGUGACAGUUUGAUCAAAGUAAUGUAUUGUAUUAUUUACUGAUAAAUUAAGGCAAAUGUCAGAAAACUACUACUGUAUGAUCAACUAAAUAAAGUAACAAUUUUUUGUGGUAUUUUACCUUCCAUCUGUACAUAUUAGUGAGCAAUAUGUUGUAUGUAUUACUAUUUUGUGUUUUUCUUUACGCUUUACUUCUGUUACUGUAUGUAAAA